GGUUUAUACUGACUGAUAUCAAUGCAGACCCCUCUGAAGCUCCUGAUUCAGGACCUCUUGUUUGCUUUUCUGAUGCCAGGUCACAGGCCCCUGUGAAGUUAUUGGCUCAGCACUUCUGGUUUGAUUUGGGCUGAGUUUUCAGGACAAACAGUAAAAGUGAGAGAUGGGGCUAGCACACGAUGAGAAAGGUUUCAGUGAUGCAGUCCUCAGGCCAAUGUACUAGUCCUCAUGUGGCCCUCGUGGUGAUUUGAGUUUGAGAUCCCUGCCUUACACAGGGCUGAAGCCAAAGGCACAAUCAAGCCCCUAAAGAAUAUCAAUGAAGCAAUCAGCGAAUGAAGAGAGAGCAGCAGCUUUCAGAGAUGAGUCUGAACAAACUCCCUCUCCCCACAAUCCAAGCAACCUUGAAUGCCAGAAAACACCGGACGCAGAUCCUAACAUUGCAGCUCUCUAGAACUGACCAAUAUCCCAUUAUUCUGCAGUACAGAAACCCUCCUAAGGACAAUCUGGCUCCCUGGAGUGGCGCAAAUGUUGAUGAGCUUAUGAUUGAAUACGUAAAACUCCACGAGAUACUGGCAGUGAAUCUUCACAACUAAAGCUGCAAAACCGCUUCACCAGAGCAGGAGCCUCUCUCAUUAUAUCAGAUGACAAAUGGAUCAAGCUACUUUGAAGCACGUUGCAAAUUAUAUCACAUUCAUGCAUAAUGGAAAUAAAUCUCAGUAACUUACUCUGAUGCAAUAGACAAGAUCUGAUCAAAACAAAAGUGGUAAAAAAUCCAAGUUAUAGGGAAUAUGUAGCAAUUUUCUUUCCCUAGGAUCAUAUCAGUCCAGCUAGAUUACUGCCUGCUGUCUAAUUAAAUGAA